AUUGAACGCUGGCGGCAGGCUUAACACAUGCAAGUCGAGCGGGGAAAGGUAGCUUGCUACUUUACCUAGCGGCGGACGGGUGAGUAAUGCUUAGGAAUCUGCCUAUUAGUGGGGGACAACAUCUCGAAAGGGAUGCUAAUACCGCAUACGUCCUACGGGAGAAAGCAGGGGACCUUCGGGCCUUGCGCUAAUAGAUGAGCCUAAGUCGGAUUAGCUAGUUGGUGGGGUAAAGGCCUACCAAGGCGACGAUCUGUAGCGGGUCUGGGAGGAUGAUCCGCCACAGUGGGACUGAGACACGGCCCAGACUCCUACGGGAGGCAGCAGUGGGGAAUAUUGGACAAUGGGGGGAACCCUGAUCCAGCCAUGCCGCGUGUGUGAAGAAGGCCUUUUGGUUGUAAAGCACUUUAAGCGAGGAGGAGGCUACCGAGAUUAAUACUCUUGGAUAGUGGACGUUACUCGCAGAAUAAGCACCGGCUAACUCUGUGCCAGCCGCCGCGGUAAGAC
rnacentral:rRNA from 1 species